rnacentral:rRNA from 1 species
CGAACGCUGGCGGCAGGCCUAAUACAUGCAAGUCGAACGGCUCUUCGGAGCAGUGGCGGACGGGUGAGUAACGCGUGGGAAUGUGCCCUUAGGUACGGAACAACACAGGGAAACUUGUGCUAAUACCGUAUGUGCCCUUCGGGGGAAAGAUUUAUCGCCUUUGGAGCAGCCCGCGUUGGAUUAGGUAGUUGGUGAGGUAAAGGCUCACCAAGCCGACGAUCCAUAGCUGGUCUGAGAGGAUGACCAGCCACACUGGGACUGAGACACGGCCCAGACUCCUACGGGAGGCAGCAGUAGGGAAUCUUGCGCAAUGGGCGAAAGCCUGACGCAGCCAUGCCGCGUGUAUGAUGAAGGUCUUAGGAUUGUAAAAUACUUUCACCGGGGAAGAUAAUGACGGUACCCGGAGAAGAAGCCCCGGCUAACUUCGUGCCAGCAGCCGCAGUAACAC